rnacentral:rRNA from 1 species
CCUACGGGUGGCAGCAGUGGGGAAUUUUGCGCAAUGCUCGUAAGAGUGACGCAGCGACGCCGCGUGAAUGACGAAGGCCUUCGGGUCGUAAAGUUCUUUCGACAGGGAAGAAAAUGCCUAUAAGUAACUGUGUAUGUAUUGACGGUACCUGUAUAAGCAGCCCCGGCUAACUCCGUGCCAGCAGCCGCGGUAAUACGGGGGGGGCGAGCGGUGUUCGGAGGGACUGGGCGUAAAGAGCACGUAGGCGGGGUUGUAAGUCAUUAGUCAAAGAGUAGAGCUCAACUUUAGUAAGGCUAGUGAUACUAUAAUACUAGAGUAUCAGAGAGGAUUGCAGAAUUCCUGGUGUAGCGGUGAAAUGCGUAGAUAUCAGGAGGAAUACCGUUAGCGAAGGCGGCAAUCUGGCUGGAAACUGACGCUGAGGUGCGAAAGCGUGGGUAGCAAACAGGAUUAGAUACCCCUGUAGUC